GUUUAUGAGUGAAUGUCUGACUAGGCUUGUGAAUGGCCAGAAGAAGGACUAAGCCUCUGAGUGUGAAGAUAAUUGAGCCUCUGAGCACAGAAAUGACUAUGCCUGUGCAGAAAGGUGCCUGAGCUUCCUGGAGCACGAGGAUGAGAAGGAAGAAUACUGGCUCUUAAGGUCAUUAGUACCUUAUCUUCCCAGACCAGUGAAAUUGCUGUGGAAACUUACUUUAUGGAAAUGGAAGCUCAGAGUGUCUUGCCUACCAUAGAAAGGCAAAGAUAAUAACAAAUUAUUUAGUUGCUGAAACAAAUUUGGCCAAAACUUACCCAACUGACCCAGAUAUAUGAGAAUGCAUAAUAGGUAUACACUAGAAUUUGUGUUUACAAAUAUGUAUAUAUUUCAGAGCAAUCUGGACAGCUCUAAUCUUAUUUCAGCUCUGCUGUCAUUGAGGUCAGUUUGAAACUCUUCUUUUAGAAUGGUGAGUUUGAGACAAAAAUUAUAUUUCUCAUUAUAGUAUAGUUAUUUCUUUAAAAAAAAACAGACAACUGAGGUAGAUUACCAACCAGAAUAACCUUUGGCUAUUUGCAAACCUCAUACUCAUCCUCAAAGAAGGAAGGUUUGACACCAUGGAAAGGAAUAGGUUUAAAAGAACUUAUCUCAAGACUUUAAUAGCAAUUCUAAAAAAAAAGAGUUCCAAAAAUAUUUUGAAUAGCAUUUUAGCAAAUAAUAUCAUAGAGGAAAAUAUAUAUUUAAAUAUAUCAAUAGAGCCAUACCUCAAGACCACAUCCACACAGUGCAGGAUAUUAUGGAUGAUAAAUUCUGAGAUAUUUGUUAAAUCACCUUAAUUUAUAGUCACAAGAAAUUUUUAACUUCUAAAAAAAAAUACUUUGUAAUACAUUGUAAACAAAAUAAAGGAUUAUAAAACUGCUUUUUUACUUAGCCUAACACAUAAUAAGUUCAUAACAAAUGCUUCUUUAUCAAACAGUUUUAAUCUGUUUUAUAUUUGGUCCUGAAAUGUGCAAUUGAAUAAUUUGACAGAUGCUAAAUUUAUUCCAAAUCAUUAGUUAUCAUUAUUAUGCUUCUAUUUUCCAUUUUCUUAAAAUUGUUUGAAAUUUUUCUUUUAGUUGCCUAUAAGUUGCCCAAGAUUUUUUAAAAUGAGUUUUAAUAUUCAAAAAUUUUCUUUAAAACGCAAAGUAUUUUUAUUGUGCUCAAAGGAAUAAAUAUGGGAACUGGAACAACCUCCAGGAAUUGAUUCAGAGUGAAAGGAGCAGAACCAGGAGAACAAUAUACACAGAGAUGGAUACGCUGGGUACAAUCAAAUGUAAUGAACUUCUCUACUAGUGGCAAUGCAAUGAUCCUGAACAACCCGGAGGGAUCUAUGAGAAAGACCACUAUCCACAUUCAGAGGAAAACUGUGGGAGUAGAAACACAGAAGAAAAAUAACUGCUUGAUUACAUGGGUCCAGGGGGAUAUGUUUGGGGAUGUAGACUCUAAAUGAACAUGCUAGUGCAAACAACAACAACAUGGAAAUAGGUUCUGAUCAAAGACACAAGUAAUACCAGUGAAAUUGCUCAUCAGCUAUGGGAAG